UACGGAGGGUGCGAGCGUUGUCCGGAAUCAUUGGGCGUAAAGGGCGCGUAGGUGGCCCGGUCAGCGUGCGGUGAAAGCUCGGGGCUCAACCCCGAGUCGGCCGUGCGAACUGCUGGGCUUGAGCACUGUAGAGGCAGGCGGAAUUCCGGGUGUAGCGGUGGAAUGCGUAGAGAUCCGGAAGAACACCGGUGGCGAAGGCGGCCUGCUGGGCAGUGGCCGACACUGAGGCGCGACAGCGUGGGGAGCAAACAGG
rnacentral:rRNA from 1 species